rnacentral:lncRNA from 10 species
CAGCGGGUGAGCCGCAUGGGGCCGAAGUCUGGGGCUAGCUGGGCCUCCGGGGCAUCCUGGGGGAGGGGGACGAAAGGGAAGGCAGCAGCUGAUUGUCAGAACCACCCCCUUCUGCCACCCUCAGCCUUGCCCCUUUCUACAGCUCUUUCUCAAUUCCCUUUCUUUUCCCUAUUUGGUUUCAGCUUUGACUUCCCCUUCUCCAGGAAGCACUCCCUGACCUCCCAGUCUGGGCCAUGCACCAACUCUGGGUGUCCUCAGAAUUUUUUUUUUUUUUUUUAAACAGAGUGAGUCAAACUAAUAGAAACAUAAAGUAGAAUGACGGGUGCCAGGGGUUGCAGGCAGGGGGGAAUGGGGAGUUGUUUGAUAAGUACAGAGUUUCAGUUUGGGAAGAUGAAAAGGUCCCAGAGGUUUGUUGGCACAACAGUAUGAAUGCAUUUAACACUACUGAACUGUGUGCUGAAAAAUGGUUAAGAUGGUACAUUUAAUGUUAUAUAUACUUAAUCAGAAUUUAAAAAAAAUUUUAAGUGGGGUGCUGAAAAAUAUAAAUGAAAAAAAAAGGUUAGGCUGGGCGCGGUGGCUUAUGCCUGUAAUCCCAUCACUUUGAGAGGACAAGGCAGGUGGAUUACCUGAGGUCAGGAGUUUGAGACCAGCCUGGCCAACACGGUGAAACCCCAUCUCUACUAAAAAUACAAAAGUUAGCUGGGUGUGAGGGCGGGUGCCUGUAAGCCCAGCUACUCAGGAGGCUGAGGCAGGAAAUCGCUUGAACCUGAGAGAUGGAGGUUGCAGUGAGCGGAGAUGGCACCAUUGCACUCCAGCCUGGGCAACACAGCGAGACUCCGUCUCGAAAAAUAAAUAAAUAAAUAAAUAAACAAACCAAUUUAAAACAAGAAAAACAAAACAAAAGUGGGGUGGGCCAGGUAUGGUGACUCACGCCUGUGAUCUCAGCAAUUUGGGAGGCCAAGGCAAGAGGAUCACUUGAACCUGGGAGGUGGAGGUUACAGUGAGCCGAGAUGGCACCGUUGCACUCCAGCCUGGGCAACAGAGUGAGACUGUCUCAAAAAAUAAAUAAAUAAAUAAAUAAAUAAAUAAAUAAAAAUUAAAAAAAAAAAAGAAAAAACAAAAGUGGGGUGGGCCAGGUACAGUGACUCACACCUGUGAUCCCAGCAAUUUGGGAGGCCAAGGCAGGAGGAUCACUUGAGUCCAGGAGUUCGAGACCAACCUGAGUAACAUAAGGAGACUUCAUCUCUACAAAAAAUAAAAAAUUAGCUGGGUGUGGUGCUACUCACCUAUGGUCCCAGCCACUCAGGAUGCUGAGGUGGGGGGAUGGCUUGAGCCAGUGAGCCAUGAUCAUGCCACUGCACUCAGCCUGGACAAGAGUGAGACCCUGUCUCAAAAUACCCAACAACAACAAAAAACUGGGGUAGCUUGCAUCAAAAGAGGCUGCCAACCUUAGGACACUCCCCUCCACAUUCAUUGGCCACACCCUCAAGCACCAGAUGGCGCUGUCUCCUUGUCCCCACCGAGACUGAAGAUUUGGCUGGCCGGUCUCCAGCACAGGUGGUAUAGCUCUGGGUUCCAAGCAGAUGAUCAAAUAAUUUCCCCAUGAAGGCUUUUUGUAGGUUUCUGCCCUUCCUAGAGAGAGGGGGCAUCCAACUAACCUCCCUAUGUCCUAAAUCCUCUGUCCCCUCCUCCCCAUUUCCACAGCUCCCUCCUCAACCAGGUCCACCCACAUUCCCAUCCAACCUCCCCCUGGUCUCCUGGCAAUUCCUCUCCCCGUGAUAGCCAGAGGAGUCUUCCUAAAGCACAAGUUGGACCUCUCCUUCCCCUGCUCUGAACUUGCCAUGGCUCCCAGUGCCCAGGGGAGAAAGUGGAAGCUGCUUCUGACAUUCCCCUUGUCUGCCCCCCAUUCCACCCUCAUCUCUUGCCAUGCUUUCCCCAACCUGUAUGUUUAAGUCACCCUGAACAUUUUCUCAAACUGCUCUUAUUUCUUUUCUUUUCUUUUUUUUUUUUGAGAUGGAGUCUCCCUCUGUUGCCCAGGCUGGAGUGCAGUGGCAGCUAUCUCAUCUCACUGCAACCUCUGCCUCCCGCGUUCAAGCGAUUCUCCUGCCUCAGCCUCCUGAGUAGCUGGGAUUACAGGCAUGCGCCACCACACCCGGCUAAUUUUGUAUUUUUAGUAGAGACGGGAUGUUGGUCAGGCUGGUCUCGAACUCCUGACCUCAGGUGAUCCACCCGCCGUGGCCUCCCAAAGUGCUGGGAUUACAGGCGUGAGCCACCGCGCCCAGCCAAAAACAAUUUUUUUUUUUUUGAGACGGAGUCUCACUCUGUUGCCAGGCUGGAGUGCGGUGGUGCGACUGGCUCACUGCAACCACCGCCUCCAGGGUUCAAGCGAUUCUCUUGCCUCAGCCUCCUGAGUAGCUGGGACUACAGGCGCGUGCCACCAUGCCCGGCUAAUUUUUGUAUUUUUAGUAGAGACGGGUUUUCACCAUGUUGGGCAGGAUGGUCUCAAUCCCUUGACCUCAUGAUCUGCCUGCCUUGGCCUCCAGAAAUGUUGGGAUUACAGGAGUGAGCCACCACACCCAGCCAAAAUAUAUAUAUUUUUUAAACGGACAGCGUCUUGCUCUGCUGCCCAAGCUUGAGUGCAGUGGUGCAAUCACGGCUCACUGCAGCCUCGAAUUCCUGUGUUCAAGCCAUCCUCCUGCCUCAGUCUCCCGAGUAGCUGGGACUACAGGCAUGCAAUACUGUGCCUGGCUAAUUUUUCAAACACAUUUUUGUGGAGACUGGCUCCCACUAUAUUGUCCAGGCUGGUCUCGAACUCCUGACCUCAAGUGAUCCUUCCGUCUCGGCCUCCCAAAGUGCCAGGAUUACAGGCGUGAGUCACCAUGUCCUUUCUAAUCUUUAGAAUCCUGGAAUUGCCUUCUGGACCUUAGAUUGAUUCUUCCUUCCUUCAAUCCUUCAACAUCUAUUUGUUGAACUCCUACAACAUGCCAGGCACUGUUCUAGGCACUGGAGAGAGAGCAACAGAUGCUCAGAGACAGACAACAUUCCUGCCCUUGUGGAGCUCCCAUUAGUGCAGGGGCAGGAACCUUUGCAACCACAGAACCUCAAGCCCUUCAAAAUCUUAGAGUUUAGGUACAUAGGAGCUCCGAACACACAUGAGAUGGUUAGUCUGCAUAUCCUUGAAGGUCACAGCAAGAGACUGUCUUCCCGCUUCUGUUCCUGUGGUCUGUUCCUCAUUCAGCACCUCGAGAGAUCCUGUCACAACUCACAUUUCAUCCUGUCCUGGCUCUGCUCAGGCCCUUCUGUGGCUGGCACCUCGCAGGAAAAGCCAAGGUACUCAAUGUGGCCCAUAAGGCCCCGCGUGAUCUUCCAUCCUUUCCUACUCACUCACUCAGCUCUAGGAACAUUGGCCACCAACACCAUCUUUCAAACACACCUGGGACACUCCAGCUGCAGAACUGCCUGUUGCCUCUGUCUGAGUGUUCUUAUCCCAGAUAGCCACAGGCGAUCCACCCCACUGCGCCGGCCCCCACCCCCAUCACUCCAAUGUCACCUUCCCAUAACCUCUUCCUUUGGCCAUCCUAUUUAAAAAUGCAUCUUGGUGGGCUGGGCAUGGUGGCUCAUGCCUGUAAUCCCAGCACUUUGGGAGGGCGAGGUGGGCAGAUCGCCUGAGGUCAGGAGUUCAAGACCAGCCUGGCCAACAUGGUGAAACCCC